rnacentral:rRNA from 1 species
UACGAGGUGUGCGAGCGUUGUUCGGAAUCACUGGGCAUAAAGGGUGCGUAGGCGGUUGGGCAAGUCAGGCGUGAAAGCCCCCGGCUUAACCGGGGAAUUGCACUUGAUACUACCCGACUUGAGGGUGAAAGGGGCAAGCGGAACUCCAGGUGUAGCGGUGGAAUGCGUAGAUAUCUGGGGGAACGCCGAAGGCGAAGGCAGCUUGCUGGGUCACUUCUGACGCUGAGUGCACGAAAGCUAGGGGA